rnacentral:rRNA from 1 species
CCCUUAGAUGUUCUGGGCCGCACGCGUGCUACACUGAGUGGAUCAGCGGGUCAGGUUGCGCGAAAGUGUUUCCUAAUCUUGAAAUCCGCUCGUGAUGGGGAUUGACGGUUGCAAUUUUCCGUCAUGAACGAGGAAUACCUUGUAAGCGCGGGUCAUCAUCCCGCGCUGAAUACGUCCCUGCCCUUUGUACACACCGCCCGUCGCUCCUACCGAUUGAGUGGUCCGGUGAGGCUUUGGGAUCUGAGCGGAAAGAGCGUUUCGCUGUUUCUGCUCGGAAAACUCAGUCGAACCUUAUCAUUUAAAGGAAGGAGAAGUCGUAACA